GAUGCGUGGCCCUUAGGUCUUUUUCACACGGGGCGAGAUGUCCGCGCGGGUGCAAUGCGUGAGGUGAACGCAUUGCACCCGCACUGAAUCCGGACCCAUUCAUUUCUAUGGGGCUGUGCACAUGAGCGGUGAUUUUCAUGCAUCAUUUGGGCGUUGCGUAAAAUC